UGGGGAAUAUUGCACAAUGGGCGCAAGCCUGAUGCAGCCAUGCCGCGUGUGUGAAGAAGGCCUUCGGGUUGUAAAGCACUUUCAGCGGGGAGGAAGGCGGUGAGGUUAAUAACCUCAUCGAUUGACGUUACCCGCAGAAGAAGCACCGGCUAACUCCGUGCCAGCAGCCGCGGUAAUACGGAGGGUGCAAGCGUUAAUCGGAAUUACUGGGCGUAAAGCGCACGCAGGCGGUCUGUCAAGUCGGAUGUGAAAUCCCCGGGCUCAACCUAGGAACUGCAUUCGAAACUGGCAGGCUAGAGUCUUGUAGAGGGGGGUAGAAUUCCAGGUGUAGCGGUGAAAUGCGUAGAGAUCUGGAGGAAUACCGGUGGCGAAGGCGGCCCCCUGGACGAAGACUGACGCUCAGGUGCGAAAGCGUGGGGAGCAAACAGG
rnacentral:rRNA from 1 species